rnacentral:rRNA from 1 species
UACGUAGGCAGCAAGCGUUGUUCGGAGUUACUGGGCGUAAAGGGUGUGUAGGCGGUUCCUUAAGUUUGCUGUGAAAUCUCCCGGCUUAACCGGGGAGGGUGCGGUGAAUACUGAGGGACUAGAGUACGGGAGAGGAAAGUGGGAAUUCCUGGUGUAGCGGUGAAAUGCGUAGAUAUCAGGAGGAACACCGGUGGUGUAGACGGCUUUCUGGACCGUAACUGACGCUGAGACACGAAAGCGUGGGUAGCAAACAGG